UACAAAUCCACUGACUGUGCUACCUAAUA
rnacentral:sRNA from 1 species